GUUUGAAUGAUGAUAAAACGUCACUGAUCGGUUGGUUUGAUCUAUUUUUGAGAAAACCUGACUGUAUAAGGAUGUUCGCUUUUGCGAGGCAUUUGUCUGACUUAAAA